rnacentral:lncRNA from 1 species
CCAUCUCGAGCACCUACGUGUACUACUGGUGAUUGGAAGAGCAAGUUUCCGAAACUCUCGUCCUUGUGAUCGUGCACCGGAAGAGGAUGAUAAGUUUUUUUUUGGGAAAUGCUUAGCGUGAUUGCUCCCAAUCUCCACGACUCAUCUUCCAGCGGUGCCACGUACCGCCGUCUCUGCCGCUAGCUGCUCUGACUCGUCUUCAACAACGACGCUGGUGCUCCAGCACUAAUCGACGAUGAUCUAUCACCAUAAGCCACGACGCCUCCAUCUGCAAAUGAGAGUUAUGCUCACCGUGACCUGAUCUGUUAUUUC